UCAUUUGCAGUGAAUGUUAAAAGUAUGAAAUAUUUCCUGUCUACCUUCUAAACUACUUGCAGCCUGCGCAAUGACUGCUAAAAUGUGGUUCUAUGUUUAAAUCAAUGCACAUCCUGCAAGUACAAAGUAGUGUUGCAUCCUGUAGCACUGACAAAAGCAGUGAGGCACCAGAACUGUUCACAUCUGCCUCUUGAAAGAUCUUGGGAGACAGACCUGUCCUCGCUUACAGACAACCCCCCAACCUAAAGCAAAUACUCAUCAGUAACCACACAUCACUGAACAAAAACACUGACCCAGGAACCUAUCCUUGUAACAAAGCCCGAUGCCAACUCUGUCCACAUAUCUAUUCAAGUGACAUCAUCAUAGGGCCUAAUCACAUCAGCCAUACCAUCAGGGGCUCGUUCACCUGCACAUCUACCAAUGUGAUAUAUGCCAUCAUGUGCCAGCAAUGCCCCUCUGCCAUGUACAUUGGCCAAACCGGACAGUCUCUACGCAAAAGAAUUAAUGGACACAAAUCUGACAUCAGGAAUCAUAAUACUCAAAAACCAGUGGGAGAACACUUUAACCUGUCUGGUCAUUCUAUGACAGACCUGCGGGUGGCUAUCUUAAAACAGAAAAACUUCAAAAACAGACUCCAACGAGAGGCUGCUGAGCUGGAAUUGAUAUGCAAACUAGACACAAUCAACUCAGGAUUGAAUAAGGACUGGGAAUGGCUGAGCCAUUACAAACAUUGAAUCUAUCUCCCCUUCUGCCUCCCAAUGGAUUUCACACAGGGGAUGUAACAGCCGUCUCUUGAGUCCAACAGAACUGACAAACUACCUAUUUAGUUUACUGAGGCUCCAUGCAGAGUGACUCCCAGAACCUCCUAAUCUUUACAACCAGCAUCUCUUUUGAAAAGGGAAAGAAUUGGAUGCGGAAGGAUAAGGAAGAACCAGCAGAUGAGCCAAUGGGAAGCAGAUUGUGUGGCCUGGUCUACACUAUGACUUUAAUUCGGAUUUGGCAGCGUUAAAUCGAAUUAACCCUGCACCCGUCCACACAACGAAGCCAUUUCUUUUGAAAUAAAGGGCUCUUAAAAUCGAUUUCUGUACUCCACCCCGACAAGCAGAGUAGCCCCAAAAUCAAUAUUGUCAUUUCGAAUUAGGGUUAGUGUGGCCGCAAUUCGAUGGUAUUGGCCUCCGGGAGCUGUCCCACAGUGCACCAUUGUGACCGCUCUGGACAGCAAUCUGAACUCGGAUGCACUGGCCAGAUAGACAGGAAAAGUCCCGCGAACAUUUGAAUUUCAUUUCCUGUUUGCCCAGUGUGGAGAGCACAGGUGACCACAGAUAGCUCAGCUCAGCAGCACAGGUAACCAUGCAGGCCGAUAAUCGAAAAAGAGCACCAGCAUGGACCGUACGGGAGGUACUGGAUCUGAUCGCUAUAUAGGGGGAGGAUUCAGUGCUAGCAGAACUUCGUUCGAAAAGACGAAAUGCCAAAACUUUUGAAAAAAUCUCCAAGGGCAUGAUGGAGGGAGGCCACAAUAGGGAUUCAGAUCAGUGCCGCGUGAAAGUCAAGGAGCUCAGACAAGCCUAUCAAAAAACAAAGGAGGCAAACGGUCGCUCCGGGUCAGAGCCGCAGACAUGCCGCUUCUAUGCCGAGCUGCAUACAGUUCUAGGGGGGGCCGCCACCACUACCCCACCUUUGACCUUUGAUUCCGAGGUGGGAAUAAUCUCAUCAGCUACACCUGAGGAUUCUGCGGACGGGGAAGAGGAAGAGGAGGAGGACAAGCUUGCGGCGAGCACCCAGCACUCCAUUCUCCCCAACGGGCAGGAUCUUUUUCUCAGCCUGACUGAAGUACCCUCCCAACCCUCCCAAGCCAGUAUCCAAGACCAUGACCCCAUGGAAGGGACCUCAGCAGCUGCAAAUUUUUCAAGCCUCCCUCCUCCGUCCCAAAGGCUAUCUCAGAUAAGGCGGCGGAGAAAGAGGACACGAGAUGAGAUGUUCACGAAAAUAAUGGAAUGCACCCGCAAUGAAAGAGCUCAUUUGAAUGAGUGGAAGGACACAGUAUCUAAAUUUAGGAAAGAUGCCAGUGAAUGUGAGGUCAUGAGGGACGCUCGAGAUGAGAGGUGGCAGGCUGCAACCCUGGGGCUGCUGCGUGAUCAAACGGACAUGCUCUGGCAUCUGGUGGAGCUUCAGGAACGGCAGCAGGAUAAUAGACUGCCGCUGCAGCCGCUGUAUAACCACCCUCCCCCCUCACCAUGUUCCAUAUCCUCCUCACCCAGACGUGUAAGAACGCGGGGGUGGGGGAGGCUCUGUGCACCCACCCACUCCACCCCAGUGGACAGCCCAACCAAAAGGCUGUCAUUAUAUUGAAUUUUUUUUAGUGGCCUUUUAUUUCCCUCCUAUCCUCCUCCCAAACCUCACCCAGAUUACCUUGUCGGUUCGCUCCCUAUGUUUAUAAUCAAUUAAUAAAGAAUACAUGAGUUUUAAACGAUA